rnacentral:rRNA from 13 species
CUCUAAAAGUACGGAAGCAAAGAAGAGUGACGAUAUGAAAAAAACUCCAACCAAAACCAAAACGACGGAGGGCAAAUCCAGUGCUGGCGGUGGCAGCAGCAGCAGUGAUUCUUCCAAAGUUCUCCAAAAUAGUGUGGUUGCCAAAAUAAUUGCGUCGCUG